GCUGCCAUGACAACCGGCCUGGUCUGCAGGACCCAGCGCAGAGGGGUGUGGAGCCUCUCAAGACCUCGGUAGGGACCAAAGUGUGCGGCUCCUCUCUUGUGGGCACCUCUCGACCCCUGUGCAGGGGGAGGACUCUGCACACAGUGGGGAGGCGUUGGACGGACAUGUGGGCCCGCUUGGUGCAUGGCUGGGGUGAGUGUCCCUUGCAGCUGCCCAUGGGGUCCAGGACAAGCCAGAGGCAUCGCAGCAGCCAAGAAGGUGGACAUGGCCUAGGAGUUGUGGGAUGAGACCUUGAAGGGAGGAGGGGACGCCCGCAAGGACCAGCCCAGGACACUGAGCAGCAGACGCCUGGGGAAGAAAGGACCUUGACUCGCCAUCCAGGUCUCACCCGGUGCUAAGAUCUGCUUUCUGCCCUUGUCCACUUCAGAGGCUGACCUGCAUAGCUGCGCCAACUGCCUCCUUGCCCCCUGGCUCCAGGAAGACCUGUCAGUAGAAGCCCCCACAGGUGACCAGCCUUGAUCCAGGAGCUCUUGAAGAGUCACCAAAUGAGAACAAAAGACAUUCCUAUUGGGGCC